GACAGAUUGCAGUUGAGGAGAAACCACAAGGAAGGAAACAAAGUGGAGAAGUCAGGCCAUGGCUACAGGUAAAUGCCAAGGAGAAAGAAUCAGGAGGGAGAAGUGAAAGAUACAGGAAAGAGAAUUGACGAAUCUUAGUCACUAUGGGAACUAAGGGGGAUGGGUUCUGAGCAUGGGUAUAGGUUUUAACUUUAAAAUGAAAGAGGAAAGAUUAUCCUGUUGAUCAAGGAAGGAAGGAUAAGGGUGGAUGUAAAGACCAAGCAAUGUAAGUCUUAGUGGCAUGAGCUUAAGGAAUCACAGAUGAUAAACUCUAUCUUCCCUUUGCCAUCAGAGGUAGGCCAUUUGCUGGGAAUGUGAAGGUACUAGUGGAGUUGGAUAUCUGACUGUGUGAACAAGGAUUCAGGUGGCUGCUGUAGUGAACGGAAAGGAAGGGACUGGAAGGAUAUAGGGUUGACAUACAGCUGUUUGCCCUGAUCUCUGUGGAAUGCCCCUCACUUUGGUUCAAAGAACAAAAAAUAUCGAUAAGCAUUCUUUGGAAAAUUUUGUUGUGUAAUAGACGAAGGUGAGAGAAAGAAGGAAUCUUCCUUGGACCAAAGAUUUACAAGAGGACUGGGGAAAGUUUUAACCACAUAUAACUACACCAGGAUAUAUUAAAGUGCAUUAUCUCAGCCAGUUCCUACGGGAGGCCAGCACUGCUGCAUGGGUGGUAAAGAUGAGCCCUGGGGAGGAUGAAGCUCACUCUUCAAGAAGCUUUCCUGUGUCAGCGUGAGCUGCUACGUGUUGUGGCAGGCACCUGCACAAAUUUCCCUGCCCCUCACCUACUACCCUCAACCACCAGGACCACCUCAAAUGGUUGACAUAAAUUGGACAGGGUUGAACAAUAGU